rnacentral:tRNA from 1 species
GAGGGUAUAGCUCAAGUGGGAGAGCCCAUGCUUAGCAUGCACAAGGUCCUGGGUUCAAUCCCCAGUACCUCCA